rnacentral:rRNA from 1 species
AGUGAACGCUGGCGGUAGGCCUAACACAUGCAAGUCGAACGGCAGCACAGUAAGAGCUUGCUCUUACGGGUGGCGAGUGGCGGACGGGUGAGGAAUACAUCGGAAUCUACUUUUUCGUGGGGGAUAACGUAGGGAAACUUACGCUAAUACCGCAUACGACCUACGGGUGAAAGCAGGGGAUCUUCGGACCUUGCGCGAUUGAAUGAGCCGAUGUCGGAUUAGCUAGUUGGCGGGGUAAAGGCCCACCAAGGCGACGAUCCGUAGCUGGUCUGAGAGGAUGAUCCGCCACACUGGAUCUGAGACACGGUCCAGACUCCUACGGUAGGCAGCAGUGGGGAAUCUUGGACAAUGGGGCCAUGCCUGAUCCAGCCAUACCGCGUGGGUGCAGAAGGCCUUCGGGUUGUAGAGCCCUUUUGUUGGGAAAGAAAUGCAGCAGGUUAAUACCCCGCUGUUCUGACGGUACCCAAAGAAUAAGCACCGGCUAACUUCGUG